rnacentral:rRNA from 1 species
GGAAGUGGGGAUGACGUCAAGUCCUCAUGGCCCUUAUGUCCAGGGCUACACACGUGCUACAAUGGCCGGUACAAAGGGCUGCAAGACCGUGAGGUUGAGCGAAUCCCAGAAAGCCGGUCUCAGUUCGGAUUGGAGUCUGCAACUCGACUCCAUGAAGUUGGAAUCGCUAGUAAUCGCGGAUCAGCAUGCCGCGGUGAAUACGUUCCCGGGCCUU